AGGGCCUUGUAUAAAUAUGCAACGACCAGGACAAAGAUCAUAAGCAAUGUGUAGCACACAAACCGAAUGAGAAAGAAAGUGAGGCCGUUGAGGAAACUCAUGGGCGUGACCAGGUUGAGAAACUCCUUCAGUCCGUUUUGCUUCUCCUCCACAAAGGGCACCACAAAGCUGCUUAGUAGGACCACAUUGAAUAGAAUGCUGCACAGUGUUCCGAAAUAUGUCAAUCGAUGACUAUCCAUGCUGAUGACCUCCAUGUUGGGCAUCGAGCUGACCACCACCUCAAAGUCUUUCCCGAGCUCCUGGUAUUUCAUAUACUGUUUGUCCAAUAUGUGUUGCAAGGACAGGAAUCCGGAACGAAUAUAAUCAUCAUCAUCUGAUAAACAAAAACCAACAUGCGGGUUCGUUAAACGGUAACAAUGGAAAAAUUGAACACGCACCUAUCUGGUGAUAAAUUUCCUCGUCGUUCACAAAUCGCUUUCUGGGCGAAAUGCGCAUCUGAUUUGAGCUGAGGCUGUAUCGGAACUUUCUGUCAGAGCCACGGUUCGGUACCCGGUGGAAGUCAAUUGCGAAGCAGCUUCCACGGCACUGUUGCUCCAUCUCCAGCUGCAUCUCGAAGCUGUUGUUGUUGGGCCGAAGUCCUGCGCAAUGAAAUAUUGUUAAAUACAAUCUAGAAGAUAGUAUCGCAAAUAUAUGCAGUGAAUUUUGUAUGUU
ensembl:ncRNA asRNA:CR44847 antisense RNA:CR44847